UACGUAGGGGGCUAGCGUUGUCCGGAAUCAUUGGGCGUAAAGCGCGUGUAGGCGGUCCGGCAAGUCCGUUGUGAAAGUCGGGGGCUCAACCCUCGAAUGCCGGUGGAUACUGUCGGGCUAGAGUGCGGAAGAGGCGAGUGGAAUUCCUGGUGUAGCGGUGAAAUGCGCAGAUAUCAGGAGGAACACCAAUUGCGAAGGCAGCUCGCUGGGACGUAACUGACGCUGAGACGCGAAAGCGUGGGGAGCAAACAGG
rnacentral:rRNA from 1 species